GACGAACGCUGGCGGCGUGCCUAAUACAUGCAAGUCGAACGCAGUGGGGACGGGUGGGUAACACGUGGGUAACCUCCCAUCCGAGGGGAUAACACUUGGCAAAAGGUGCUAAAACCGAUACGGAUGGAGGGACCCGCGGUGCAUGAGCUCGUCGGUGAGGUAACGGCCCACCAAGGCCACGAUGCAUAGCCGACCUGAGAGGGUGAUCGGCCACACUGGGACUGAGACACGGCCCAGACUCCUACGGGAGGCAGCAGUAGGGAAUCUUCGGCAAUGGACGAAAGUCUGACCGAGCAACGCCGCGUGAGUGAAGAAGGUUUUCGGAUCGUAAAACUCUGUUGUUAGAGAAGCGGUAUCUAACCAGAAAGCCACGGCUAACUACGUGCCAGCAGCCGCGGUAAUAC
rnacentral:rRNA from 1 species